GCAUAUCAAUAAGCGGAGGAAAAGAAACCAACAGGGAUUGCCCCAGUAACGGCGAGUGAAGCGGCAACAGCUCAAAUUUGAAAUCUGGCCUCACGGCCCGAGUUGUAAUUUGCAGAGGAUGCUUUUGGCGCGGCGCCUUCCGAGUGCCCUGGAACGGGACGCCAUAGAGGGUGAGAGCCCCGUCUGGUUGGAUGCCUAGCCUCUGUAAAGCUCCUUCGACGAGUCGAGUAGUUUGGGAAUGCUGCUCAAAAUGGGAGGUAUAUGUCUUCUAAAGCUAAAUAUUGGCCAGAGACCGAUAGCGCACAAGUAGAGUGAUCGAAAGAUGAAAAGCACUUUGAAAAGAGGGUUAAAUAGUACGUGAAAUUGUUGAAAGGGAAGCGCUUGUGACCAGACUUGGGCUUGGUGAAUCAUCCGGCGUUCUCGCCGGUGCACUUUGCCUGUCCAGGCCAGCAUCAGUUCGCUCCGGGGGAUAAAGGCGUGGGGAAUGUGGCUCCUCCGGGAGUGUUAUAGCCCCGCGUGUAAUACCCUGUGGCGGACUGAGGUUCGCGCUCCGCAAGGAUGCUGGCGUAAUGGUCAUCAGCGACCCGUCUUGAAACACGGACCAAGGAGUCGUCUUCGUAUGCGAGUGUUCGGGUGUCAAACCCCUACGCGUAAUGAAAGUGAACGCAGGUGAGAGCUUCGGCGCAUCAUCGACCGAUCCUGAUGUUCUCGGAUGGAUUUGAGUAAGAGCAUACGGGGCCGGACCCGAAAGAAGGUGAACUAUGCCUGUAUAGGGUGAAGCCAGAGGAAACUCUGGUGGAGGCUCGCAGCGGUUCUGACGUGCAAAUCGAUCGUCAAAUAUGGGCAUGGGGGCGAAAGACUAAUCGAACCUUCUAGUAGCUGGGUUUCCGCCGA
rnacentral:rRNA from 2 species